rnacentral:rRNA from 1 species
GAUUUCUGGCUUGCAACCUUACGCCGGCCACGGUUUCGUGUGUUAGUGCGUGCGGUUCUGGCCAUCCUUCCAAUCGCUAUUCACUCAUCUUCAUUGAUGGGUGAGUGGUAUUGGAUCUUUUACUUUGAAAAAAUUAGAGUGUUUCAAGCAGGCUUUAUGCUAUGAAUACAUUAGCAUGGAAUAAUAAUUUAGGACUUCGGUUCUAUUUUGUUGGUUUCUAGGACUGAAGUAAUGAUUGAUAGGGAUAGUUGGGGGUGCUAGUAUUCAGCGGCCAGAGGUGAAAUUCUCGGAUUCGCUGAAGACUAACUUAUGCGAAAGCAUU